UGAGGCUCCGCUCUUGCAA
rnacentral:tRNA from 1 species